rnacentral:rRNA from 1 species
GACGUAGGGCGCAAGCGUUGUCCGGAUUUAUUGGGCGUAAAGAGCUCGUAGGCGGCUUGUCGCGUCGACUGUGAAAACCCGUGGCUCAACCAUGUGGUCUGCAGUCGAUACGGGCAGGCUAGAAUUCGGUAGGGGAGACUGGAAUUCCUGGUGUAGCGGUGAAAUGCGCAGAUAUCAGGAGGAACACCGGUGGCGAAGGCGGCAUCCUGGACCAAUUCUGACGCUGAGGAGCGAAAGCCAGGGGAGCAAACGGG